UGUAAUUGAGACUCCGUACUGUAUGACUUUUAUAAGCUUUUUCCCAUUUCUCUGUGUCUUUAAAAAAAGCUGUGAAAACUUCAUUUCCAAGUGUUAUUAGAUACUAUUUUAUAGACUGCUAGCUUUCUGACAUGAGCAGCAUUUCCUAUUCUUAUCAAUAACUAAUGUAGCGAGGAUGCUUGUGAAUCUUUACCCUCUCCCGCCUUUUUAUUAUCCCUUGAGAUUUACAGAAAUGGAACUCUUGCAUUAAAGGGUCUGUGCAGUAUUUUAAAUAGAUACCUCAUUUGGAGACACCUGAGCCUGCUCUGAGAGGGUGGCCCUCGCUCUGCUAUGCCUGUUCCUCCGCAGGCGAUAAACAGGGAGCACCCCGCCUCUCCUGUUUGCGCUUGGCUGUCUGCCUUGUACUCCUCCCCGGAGCACAUGUAUUACUCAUCUCUGAAGCACGAUUUGGGGAGCAGGUGAGGACAGUGUGGGGAGGCCAAGGGGCGCAGGUGAGAAGCACUGGACAGGGAGUCUGGCCUGGGCCCCUGCUCCAGUAGUGCUACCCAGCCUCCAUU
rnacentral:lncRNA from 1 species